UAAAGUCAAAUUAAUUGGUUAAAGUUAAUAAAUAAUUAAUAUUAAGUACAACAACUCUACUUAUUAUUGUAAGAGUAAAAUCUUUAUAAAUAAGAUAGGAAUGUGUUAAUGUAACAUUAAUUCUCUUACGAGGCGCUAGCAUAAAGACUAGGAUUAGAUACCCUAUUAUGGGCGUGAGUAAGAAAGUUUAUUAAGUUAAUAGCCUUAAUUAAAGCAAAACCUAUUUACUAUGGCGGCUGUUAGUCUCACCAGAGUCGUAUGUCCUUAAACGAAACUGCGCGAUCAUCUUACCUUUUAACUUUUGCUAAUAUAAAAUAAUUACAUUAUAGCAAUCUGUGGCAAGUCGCUGUACUAAAAGUGAAGAUUUUAAAUAACUCAUUUUUUAAUUAAUUAUUAGCAUUUAUUAAUAACGUACAAGUCAAGACGCCGUUUUAAGAGGCUUAAGAUGUACGAUUUAAUUGAUUUGAUAGAAUUUAUAAGAAUGAAAACUUUCUUUAUUAAAAUAAUUUGGAAGUAAAAUAGGGUUAUUAUUCUUAUUUGAAAUGAGCUACUAAUAAGU
rnacentral:rRNA from 1 species